GGAAUAUUGCACAAUGGGCGCAAGCCUGAUGCAGCCAUGCCGCGUGUAUGAAGAAGGCCUUCGGGUUGUAAAGUACUUUCAGCGAGGAGGAAGGCAUUAAGGUUAAUAACCUUAGUGAUUGACGUUACUCGCAGAAGAAGCACCGGCUAACUCCGUGCCAGCAGCCGCGGUAAUACGGAGGGUGCAAGCGUUAAUCGGAAUUACUGGG
rnacentral:rRNA from 1 species